ACUCGAACGACUCUCGGCAACGGAUAUCUCGGCUCUUGCAUCGAUGAAGAACGUAGCGAAAUGCGAUACUUGGUGUGAAUUGCAGAAUCCCGUGAACCAUCGAGUCUUUGAACGCAAGUUGCGCCCGAGGCCACUAGGCCGAGGGCACGUCUGCCUGGGCGUCA
rnacentral:rRNA from 1 species